GAUGAACGCUGGCGGCGUGCCUAAUACAUGCAAGUCGAGCGAACGGACGAUAAGCUUGCUUCUCUGAUGUUAGCGGCGGGCGGGUGAGUAACACGUGGAUCACCUACCUCUAAGACUGGGAUAACUUCGGGAAACCGGAGCUAAUACCGGAUAAUAUUUUGAACCGCAUGGUUCAAGAGUGAAAGACGGUCUUGCUGUCACUUAUAGAUGGAUCCGCGCUGCAUUAGCUAGUUGGUAAGGUAACGGCUUACCAAGGCGACGAUGCAUAGCCGACCUGAGAGGGUGAUCGGCCACACUGGAACUGAGACACGGUCCAGACUCCUACGGGAGGCAGCAGUAGGGAAUGUUCGGCAAUGGGCGAAAGCCUGACGGAGCAACGCCGCGUGAGUGAUGAAGGUCUUCGGAUCGUAAAACUCUGUUAUUGGGGAAGAACAUAUGUGUAAGUAACUGUGCACAUCUUGACGGUACCUAAUCAGAAAGCCACGGCUAACUACGUG
rnacentral:rRNA from 1 species